GAUGAACGCUGGCGGCGUGCCUAACACAUGCAAGUCGAACGAAGCAAUUAAAGGAAGUUUUCGGAUGGAAUUUGAUUGACUGAGUGGCGGACGGGUGAGUAACGCGUGGAUAACCUGCCUCACACUGGGGGAUAACAGUUAGAAAUGACUGCUAAUACCGCAUAAGCGCACAGUACCGCAUGGUACGGUGUGAAAAACUCCGGUGGUGUGAGAUGGAUCCGCGUCUGAUUAGCCAGUUGGCGGGGUAACGGCCCACCAAAGCGACGAUCAGUAGCCGACCUGAGAGGGUGACCGGCCACAUUGGGACUGAGACACGGCCCAAACUCCUACGGGAGGCAGCAGUGGGGAAUAUUGCACAAUGGGCGAAAGCCUGAUGCAGCGACGCCGCGUGAGUGAAGAAGUAUUUCGGUAUGUAAAGCUCUAUCAGCAGGGAAGAAAAUGACGGUACCUGACUAAGAAGCCCCGGCUAACUACGUGCCAGCAGCCGCGGUAAUACGUAGGGGGCAAGCGUUAUCCGGAUUUACUGGGUGUAAAGGGAGCGUAGACGGCGAAGCAAGUCUGAAGUGAAAACCCAGGGCUCAACCCUGGGACUGCUUUGGAAACUGUUUUGCUAGAGUGUCGGAGAGGUAAGUGGAAUUCCUAGUGUAGCGGUGAAAUGCGUAGAUAUUAGGAGGAACACCAGUGGCGAAGGCGGCUUACUGGACGAUAACUGACGUUGAGGCUCGAAAGCGUGGGGAGCAAACAGGAUUAGAUACCCUGNUAGUCCACGCCGUAAACGAUGAAUGCUNGGUGUUGGGGGGCAAAGCCCUUCGGUGCCGUCGCNNCGCANUANGCAUUCCACCUGGGGAGUACGUUCGCAAGAAUGAAACUCAAGGAAUUGACGGGGACCCGCACAAGCGGNGGNNCAUGUNGUUUNAUUUCGAAGCAACGCGGAGAUCUUUACCAAGUCUUGACAUCCUCUUGACCGGCGUGUACGGCGCGUCCCUUCGGGGCAGAGAAGAACAGUGGGUGCAUGGUUGUCGUC
rnacentral:rRNA from 1 species